rnacentral:rRNA from 1 species
UAAAGCGAUUCAGCGGGUUACGAUUGACGGAGCGAAGCGACGUCAAAGCGUAUACAAAGUCGAGUCGGUUUAAGGAUACGUUCGUUGGGUAGGGGAGCGUUCUGUAAGCCCGUGAAGGUGGCCUGUGAGGGUUGCUGGAGGUAUCAGAAGUGCGAAUGCUGACAUAAGUAACGAUAAAGCGGGUGAAAAGCCCGCUCGCCGGAAGACCAAGGGUUCCUGUCCAACGUUAAUCGGGGCAGGGUGAGUCGACCCCUAAGGCGAGGCCGAAAGGCGUAGUCGAUGGGAAACGGGUUAAUAUUCCCGUACUUGGUGUUACUGCGAAGGGGGGACGGAGAAGGCUAUGUUGGCCGGGCGACGGUUGUCCCGGUUUAAGCGUGUAGGUGUGUGUUCCAGGUAAAUCCGGUUCACUUUAACACUGAGGCGUGAUGACGAGGCACUACGGUGCUGAAGCAACAAAUGCCCUGCUUCCAGGAAAAGCCUCUAAGCAUCAGGUAACAUCAAAUCGUACCCCAAACCGACACAGGUGGUCAGGUAGAGAAUACCAAGGCGCUUGAGAGAACUCGGGUGAAGGAACUAGGCAAAAUGGUGCCGUAACUUCGGGAGAAGGCACGCUGACACGUAGGUGAAGUGAUUUACUCACGGAGCUGAAGUCAGUCGAAGAUACCAGCUGGCUGCAACUGUUUAUUAAAAACACAGCACUGUGCAAACACGAAAGUGGACGUAUACGGUGUGACGCCUGCCCGGUGCCGGAAGGUUAAUUGAUGGGGUCAGCGCAAGCGAAGCUCCUGAUCGAAGCCCCGGUAAACGGCGGCCGUAACUAUAACGGUCCUAAGGUAGCGAAAUUCCUUGUCGGGUAAGUUCCGACCUGCACGAAUGGCGUAAUGAUGGCCAGGCUGUCUCCACCCGAGACUCAGUGAAAUUGAACUCGCUGUGAAGAUGCAGUGUACCCGCGGCAAGACGGAAAGACCCCGUGAACCUUUACUAUAGCUUGACACUGAACAUUGAGCCUUGAUGUGUAGGAUAGGUGGGAGGCUUUGAAGUGUGGACGCCAGUCUGCAUGGAGCCGACCUUGAAAUACCACCCUUUAAUGUUUGAUGUUCUAACGUGGACCCGUAAUCCGGGUUGCGGACAGUGUCUGGUGGGUAGUUUGACUGGGGCGGUCUCCUCCUAAAGAGUAACGGAGGAGCACGAAGGUUGGCUAAUCCUGGUCGGACAUCAGGAGGUUAGUGCAAUGGCAUAAGCCAGCUUGACUGCGAGCGUGACGGCGCGAGCAGGUGCGAAAGCAGGUCAUAGUGAUCCGGUGGUUCUGAAUGGAAGGGCCAUCGCUCAACGGAUAAAAGGUACUCCGGGGAUAACAGGCUGAUACCGCCCAAGAGUUCAUAUCGACGGCGGUGUUUGGCACCUCGAUGUCGGCUCAUCACAUCCUGGGGCUGAAGUAGGUCCCAAGGGUAUGGCUGUUCGCCAUUUAAAGUGGUACGCGAGCUGGGUUUAGAACGUCGUGAGACAGUUCGGUCCCUAUCUGCCGUGGGCGCUGGAGAACUGAGGGGGGCUGCUCCUAGUACGAGAGGACCGGAGUGGACGCAUCACUGGUGUUCGGGUUGUCAUGCCAAUGGCACUGCCCGGUAGCUAAAUGCGGAAGAGAUAAGUGCUGAAAGCAUCUAAGCACGAAACUUGCCCCGAGAUGAGUUCUCCCUGAGACUUAGAGUC